GAUGAACGCUAGCGGGAGGCCUAACACAUGCAAGCCGAGCGGUAGGGUCUCUUCGGAGACUUGAGAGCGGCGCACGGGUGCGGAACACGUGUGCAACCUGCCUUUAUCUGGGGGAUAGCCUUUCGAAAGGAAGAUUAAUACCCCAUAAUAUACUGGAUGGCAUCAUCUGGUAUUGAAAACUCCGGUGGAUAGAGAUGGGCACGCGCAAGAUUAGAUAGUUGGUGAGGUAACGGCUCACCAAGUCAGCGAUCUUUAGGGGGCCUGAGAGGGUGAUCCCCCACACUGGUACUGAGACACGGACCAGACUGCUACGGGGGGCAGCAGUGAGGAAUAUUGGGCGAUGGGUGAGAGCCUGAUCCAGCCAUCCCGCGUGAAGGACGACGGCCCUAUGGGUUGUAAACUUCUUUUGUAUAGGGAUAAACCUAGAUACGUGUAUCUAGCUGAAGGUACUAUACGAAUAAGCACCGGCUAACUCCGUG
rnacentral:rRNA from 1 species